rnacentral:rRNA from 1 species
ACUCAAAGGAAUAGACGGGGGCCCGCACAAGCGGUGGAGCAUGUGGUUUAAUUCGACGCAACGCGAAGAACCUUACCUAGGCUUGACAUGCUGGUGAAACCCUUGAGAAACCAGGGGCCUCCUUCGGGACAUCAGCACAGGUGCUGCAUGGCUGUCGUCAGCUCGUGUCGUGAGAUGUUGGGUUAAGUCCCGCAACGAGCGCAACCCCCGUUCCUAGUUGCCAGCGAGUAGAGUCGGGGACUCUAGGAAGACUGCCGGUGCCAAACCGGAGGAAGGUGGGGAUGACGUCAAGUCAUCAUGGUCCUUACGUCUAGGGCUACACACGUGCUACAAUGGCCGGUACAGAGGGCUGCGAGCCUGCGAAGGCAAGCCAAUCCCAGAAAGCCGGCCUCAGUGCGGAUUGGAGGCUGCAACUCGCCUCCAUGAAGCUGGAAUCGCUAGUAAUCGUGGAUCAGCUACGCCACGGUGAAUACGUUCCCGGGCCUUGUACACACCGCCCGU